CCGGCGACCGGCGCACGGGUGAGUAACACGUAUGGAACCUGCCCGCCACAGGGGGAUAACCCGGCGAAAGUCGGACUAAUACCGCAUGAAGCAGGGGCCCCGCAUGGGGAUAUUUGCUAAAGAUUCAUCGCUGAUAGAUAGGCAUGCGUUCCAUUAGGCAGUUGGCGGGGUAACGGCCCACCAAACCGACGAUGGAUAGGGGUUCUGAGAGGAAGGUCCCCCACAUUGGUACUGAGACACGGACCAAACUCCUACGGAAGGCAGCAG
rnacentral:rRNA from 1 species